AUGAACGCUGGCGGCGUGCCUCAUACAUGCAAGUCGAGCGAACAGACGAGGAGCUUGCUCCUCUGACGUUAGCGGCGGACGGGUGAGUAACACGUGGAUAACCUACCUAUAAGACUGGGAUAACUUCGGGAAACCGGAGCUAAUACCGGAUAAUAUAUUGAACCGCAUGGUUCAAUAGUGAAAGACGGUUUUGCUGUCACUUAUAGAUGGAUCCGCGCCGCAUUAGCUAGUUGGUAAGGUAACGGCUUACCAAGGCAACGAUGCGUGGCCGACCUGAGAGGGUGAUCGGCCACACUGGAACUGAGACACGGUCCAGACUCCUACGGGAGGCAGCAGUAGGGAAUCUUCCGCAAUGGGCGAAAGCCUGACGGAGCAACGCCGCGUGAGUGAUGAAGGUCUUCGGAUCGUAAAACUCUGUUAUUAGGGAAGAACAAAUGUGUAAGUAACUAUGCACGUCUUGACGGUACCUAAUCAGAAAGCCACGGCUAACUACGUG
rnacentral:rRNA from 1 species